rnacentral:rRNA from 1 species
AACGAACGCUGGCGGCAGGCUUAACACAUGCAAGUCGAACGCAUCCUUCGGGGUGAGUGGCAGACGGGUGAGUAACGCGUGGGAACGUGCCCUUCAGUUCGGGAUAACCCAGGGAAACUUGGGCUAAUACCGGAUACGUGCGAGAGCAGAAAGAUUUAUCGCUGAAGGAUCGGCCCGCGUCUGAUUAGCUAGUUGGUGGGGUAAUGGCCCACCAAGGCGGCGAUCAGUAGCUGGUCUGAGAGGAUGAUCAGCCACAUUGGGACUGAGACACGGCCCAAACUCCUACGGGAGGCAGCAGUGGGGAAUAUUGGACAAUGGGCGCAAGCCUGAUCCAGCCAUGCCGCGUGAGUGAUGAAGGCCUUAGGGUUGUAAAGCUCUUUCGUCCGGGACGAUAAUGACGGUACCGGGAGAAGAAGCCCCGGCUAACUUCGUGCCAGCCGCCGCGGUAACAC